rnacentral:rRNA from 1 species
CCUCACCGAGGCCCCCUGGAGACAGGGAGCAGCCCGCCGGCGGCCAAACAAACUCUUGUUUCUUAGUGAAUCUCUGAGUAAAAAACAUAAUGAAUCAAAACUUUCAACAACGGAUCUCUUGGUUCUGGCAUCGAUGAAGAACGCAGCGAAAUGCGAUAAGUAAUGUGAAUUGCAGAAUUCAGUGAAUCAUCGAAUCUUUGAACGCACAUUGCGCCCUCUGGUAUUCCGGAGGGCAUGCCUGUUCGAGCGUCAUUUCAACCCUCAAGCCUAGCUUGGUGUUGGGGCACCGCCUUUGCAAAAGGGCGGGCCCUGAAAUCUAGUGGCGAGCUCGCCAGGACCCCGAGCGUAGUAGUUAUAUCUCGUUCUGGAAGGCCCUGGCGGUGCCCUGCCGUUAAACCCCCAACUUCUGAAAUUUUGACCUCGGAUCAGGUAGGAAUACCCGCUGAACU